rnacentral:misc_RNA from 1 species
UUUGCAGUCCCUAGAUUUAUCUAAUGGAACAUUUUUCAUUUUUGUUUAUGGAAUAAAAUAAAGUAGGAUAUAUUGUCAUGUGAACCUUAAUCUAGUGUUCUUUUUAUGCUGAACUUAUUUGGAUGUAAGUAUGUGAGAUGAUAUCAGGAGGUGCAAAAUGCUUACCUUCGAGCCUAAAACUGCUUUAAGAGAAUAUGACUUGAA